rnacentral:rRNA from 1 species
UAGUUGGAGAGGUAACGGCUCACCAAGGCAACGAUAGGUAGGGGUCCUGAGAGGGAGAUCCCCCACACUGGUACUGAGACACGGACCAGACUCCUACGGGAGGCAGCAGUGAGGAAUAUUGGUCAAUGGACGGAAGUCUGAACCAGCCAUGUCGCGUGCAGGAAGACGGCCUUAUGGGUUGUAAACUGCUUUUAUACAGGGAUAAACCCCUUCUCGUGAGGAGGGCUGAAGGUACUGUAUGAAUAAACACCGGCUAACUCCGUGCCAGCAGCCGCGGUAAUACGGAGGGUGUAAGCGUUAUCCGGAAUCAUUGGGUUUAAAGGGUCCGUAGGCGGACUAUUAAGUCAGAGGUGAAAUCCCACGGCUCAACCGUGGAACUGCCUUUGAUACUGGUAGUCUUGAGUUAUUGUGAAGUAGAUGGAAUGUGUAGUGUAGCGGUGAAAUGCAUAGAUAUUACACAGAACACCGAUUGCGAAGGCAGUCUACUAAUAAUAUACUGACGCUGAGGGACGAAAGCGUGGGGAUCGAACAGGAUUAGAUACCCUGGUAGUCCACGCCGUAAACGAUGGAUACUAGCUGUGGUCGCGA